GAUCCGGGCUCAUGAUAGGCCGAGCUUUCUACGGGCCAGGCAGCAGGCUGAGUAAUAGUAACCCUAAUUAUUAAUUAACAAUUUAACAUCUAAAAGUAAAAACGCUAACCUAGGGAUACCGGUUCUUUCCUAAAUUUUACUUUAACCGGGUUGGCAAGUCUAAACCGUCGCUUAACCGGCUUUCUUAUCUUAGCCUGUAAUUAUAAAACCGCUCCUCCACUCAACGAACUCUAUUAGGGUAAAGCGGUACGCCGUUUACAUUGUUACUCACGAAACAGAGCUCUGGAUCCAUCUCAAUCAGCUCGAGCAAGAAUCGAUCCAUUGAGAUUGCGAAGAAAGAAACUUCAUAAUCUGAAAAGGUAGAUCCUAAACUAUUCUUGAUAAAUCUUGAUAGUCUGGCUUUUCAAUUCUUUUCAAUUGAACUACGAUGAUUUGAUCUUAUAUCUGCAGGUGGGAUGGAAAAGGAUCUCAGGGUAUUUGGAUCCGGUUAAGUAUAUAACAAAAUGUUUAUGCAGAUAUCAUUUACUCUCUCUCUUUCUUGAUUUAUCUUUUCUUGAGAAGUUGCUGAAGAUUGUUUUAUGAGAGUAUUAUAAGUCACCGCAUUUGGUAAUCAAGUGUUGCUUUCCCAAACGAAGUGACUUAUAAAGAUCUCAUGAUUAAUCGAUUUUUUGCAAGGUCUUGAAGAGAGUAAAGGACCAUGAUGUCCUGAGUGAAAAUGGAUUUAUCUUUCUUUUUUUUUGUCUUAUAAUGUGCCAGGUCUCUUUGUGUGUUACUGUCCACUCUUUCUUUUUGUCUGGGUGAUAACAAGAUAAAUCCCAAGCAUCAUCCACCUUAUUAGCUUUGACAUAAACGAAGGCUUGUAAAAUGGAAGAUUCUUGGGAUUUAUCUUUUUGUAGUCUCCUCUUCUAAAAGAGUAAUGUCAACAUACACGGAAAUGAUUUCAAAUUCUAAAAGUGUUGCUUAAUGUUACAACAUACACGACAAUGAUUUCAGGCUUGUGGAGGAACAUGAUGCUUCUGUUUAUGGAUUUGUAAGCCAGAAACUUGAUAUUUGCUAAAGAAGUGUUAACCGUUUGCAUGUGUUAUAACUGAGUGUUUACACCCACUUUAUGUAUAAAUGGAAUAAGGUUGCUUUCCCCCAUCAGAUUAAAGACUAAGUGAUCAAGAUUUUAUCUUUUUGUUUCUUAGUUUGAACUUUUUUAUGUUCUCGUAAUGUAUUGAUCAAUGUGAUAUAAAAUAGAUAACAAUGUUGUGCCAAACAAAACUAUGUUGAUAGGUACGGUUUUGUGCAAUUAAUGGACAACCACUUCAUGUUAGCCAUUUUCAAAAACGUUAACGAAAAGAUUGGUAAAUACUUAUCCACUAGGUACGUGGAAAGAGAUUAUUAAUUUUAUUAUUUUUAGAUAAAAAGAUAUUAGGUCUCUUUAAUCUAGAUAUUGGUUCAGUUUUAGGUUGGUUUUUUUUUUUUAAUCUCCUAAAAUAUCACUAUUAGAGAUGUCAAACAAGUUUACCCGUCUCGUACCGCGGCGGGUUAGUCAUCAAGCGGGCCAGCUGGCUUUUUCCGCGUGGACUGCGGUCUUCAGAAUGUCGGCUCAAACCCGUACCGCAGAACAUAUAGGCCUUCGCGGGUCGUCCCGCGGGAUGCCUCCUUGUCAAACCGCCUACUACAACUUCCUUCAUGAAUGUUCAAAUUGAAGAGUUGUGUAAGAGAGUUGAAGAUAGCUCAUUAAGCUUCACUAAAGUCUUAUCAAAAUCAAUGCCAUAAAGCUCUGUUUGUGCUUGUGUUCUUGAGUUAAAAGCCUUUUCUUGUUAUCAUCAUAAGAUUUUAUUAAAUUUGAAUUUGAUUGAGUUGUUGUCUUUGUAAUAACUUGGCUCAAGUGUUGUAUGUUUUCAUCAAACCAUCUUUCUUUGUAAUUCUUUGGAUUUCAAAAAAAAAAAUCGUUAAUCAUUUGUCAAAUUAUACAAGUCACAUGAUAUACAACUAACUUUUCUCCUAAACAACAUCAUUGUAACCAUAUUUAAUUUAAGAAAAAUACCAUUUCACAAUACUGAAAACGAAACCAAGCAACUUAAACAAGAAAUCCCACAUUGUAAUAAAGCAAUUAAUAGUUGUGUUUAAUAAAAAGAGAAAACCAAAUCAAAACAACACCAGAGCUCGAAUCGUCAUCGCUGAAGCUGGAGUCGUCAUCGCCGGAUCUCGAAUCAUCAUCACCGGAGCUCAAAUCAUCAUCGCCGGAACUCCUUAUGUUUUCAAGGGGAAAAGUCACAAGAAUCGAUUUCUUCUCACUAUCUCUCUCGUUCUUUUCAGGUAAAAUAAGAAAUGAAAAAAAAUGCGGGUCCAUAUAAUCCCGCAUGACCCGUUUCGACCCAGUCCCGCAAAGACCUGUCCCGCGAAGCCCGCAAAUUUACGGGCCUAGAAAACCUCGUCCCAAUACCGUCCCGCGACAGGCCUUUACGAACCAGGCCCGUGGUCCAAGUCCAUGAUUGCCAUCUCUAAUCACUACCAUUCUAAAUCUAUAUUUAUUUUGGUUUGUUCGGUUAAAAUGCUUAAGGUUUUUGUUUUCUUUGGGUGAUAAACAAAAAACUAUUAUUAUUGGUUUGGUUUCAUGUUAUAUGAGUUUUAGACUGUCGAACCAAUAGUUUGAAUUCAUAUUAUAAUUUAUAAACGUAUACAAAAUCAAAUCAAAUCUAGAUAAUAGUUAAAAAAAAAAUUAUUAAGACAAAUCAUUUCUCUACAAUUUGGUCGAUGGUGAAAGGAAGCAUUAAAAAAAAUAUAUUCCAAUUUCAAUUAUUAUUGAGUAAAAAAAAAGUAUGCAAUGAUAUUACUGAUUGACUCAAAGUUGUUUAUGAGUUCAGUUGUUUUGAUAUGGAACUCUAAACUAAUCUUUAAAGUGUGAGAUUAUUUGAGUUGCGUUUUGAUAGACCAUGGAUUUAACCCACUCUCACCCAUGAAUUAUCAGUGUUUUAAUUAUUAAUUAUUAUAUUAUAGAGUUUAUUUAGUAUAUUUAUAGGAUCAGAAGUGAUUUGGAGACAAGUGAUGAUUUUGGAGCAUUUUAGAGAUAUUUGGAGCAAGCACCCGAGAUGACCAUCGAGCUCGACCAUCGGUCGAUAUUGAAGAGGAAUAAUCGAUCAAUGUUCACAUCAGAGCAUCGAUCGACAGCGAAGCGCGCAAAAAGCCUGUUUGGUCACAGCCGACUUGAAGCCCAAGUCUUCACCAGUUUACAAGAUUACUGAUAUAUGGUGUUUUUGGCAUCUUGUAUAUAUGUUUUCUAAUUGGUUUUCAAGUCAUUAUCGAGUCUUCCUAAUCCUUUUCGAGUCAUUACAGGUCUGGAGUUGCAUUGGAUUGGAGAUAGACCAGCUGAAACAAAAAGGACAGAACACAAUGCAAUCUGGAGUUUUCACGCGGAACCGUCUGAGUGACUGUUCCCGAUAGCGGAGCAACCCGAGUGACUGUUCUGGAUAGAGAGGAGCAACCCGAGUGCAUGUUCCAGCGGCAGAGAUUUUUAAGGAAACUACAAGUCAUUACGGAAUUUGCCCUAAUUAUCCCAUCUUUUUCUCCCAGCCGCCAGUGGCUUCCAUAUAACUUCUCUUUCUGUUUUUCUAUAUUUUAUUACGCUGUUUUUGAGACAAGGAACCAGACUUGAGUGAUAAAAAGAUAUUAGGUCUCUUUAAUCUAGAUAUUGGUUCAGUUUUAGGUUGGUUUUUUUUUUUUAAUCUCCUAAAAUAUCACUAUUAGAGAUGUCAAACAAGUUUACCCGUCUCGUACCGCGGCGGGUUAGUCAUCAAGCGGGC
rnacentral:lncRNA from 1 species